rnacentral:lncRNA from 1 species
GGGGGAGAGGGAGGGCAAGGAUGCAAUUAGAAGGAAAUAGGCAGGACGUAUAGGACUUUUUAGUAUAAAAAAGACAGGAUGCGCCACAGUGCCGAAAAACCCAAAACAGGAUGUCAAUUCACUUAAAAAUAGUCCGGAUAAACUUAUAAAACAAAAAUGUGUCCAAAGUACACAGAUGCCCCACUCGCACUAUCAUUUUACAUGUUUAAUGGACUGUAAAGUUGGGUAAACAAGAAUGUGUCCAUAGUACACGGAUGCCCCACUCGCACUAUCAUUUUCUAUGUUCAGUGGACCGUGAAAAUUGGGGUUAAACCUUUAAUUUGGAAUUAAAAUUAGAAAAAUCAUAUCAAAGGGAACAUGUGUACUAAGUUUCAAGUUGAUGUAACUUUAACUUCAUCAAAAACUACCUUGACCAAAAACUUUAACCUGAACUUCGCACUAUUAUUUUCUAUGUUCAGUGGACCACGAAAUUGGGGUCAAAACUAUAAUUUGGCAUUAAAAUUAGAAAGAUCAUAUCAUGGGGAACAUGUGCACUAAGUUUCAAGUUGAUUGGACUUCAACUUCUUCAAAAACUACCUUGACCAAAAACUUUAACCUGAAGCGAACGGACGCACAGACGGACGCACAGACGGACGGACGAACGGACGGAGGCACAGACCAGAAAACAUAAUGCCCCUCUACUAUCGUAGGUGGGGCAUAAAAAUCUAAUUUGGCAUUAAAAUAAGAAAGAUCAUACCAUAGAGAACAUGUG